rnacentral:rRNA from 1 species
GAUGAACGCUGGCGGCGUGCCUAAUACAUGCAAGUCGAACGCUGAAGGCGGACCUUGCUUCUCUGGUUGAGUUGCGCACGGGUGAGUAACGCGUGUGUCACCUGCCUGGUAGCGGGGGAUAACUAUGGGAAACGAUAGCUAAUACCGCAUAAUAGUAGAUGUUGCAUUACAUUUUCUUAAAAGUUGCAAUUGCUUCACUACCACAUGGACCUUCGUUGUAUUAGUUAGUUGGUGGGGUAACGGCUCACCAAGGCGAGGAUACAUAGCCGAACUGAGAGGGUGAGCGGCCACACUGGGAGGGAGACACGGCACACACGGCUACGGGAGGCAGCCGUAGUGAAUCUUGGGCAAUGGGCGGAAGUCUGAGCGAGAAACGCCGAAGGAGUGAAGAAGGUUGUCGGGUCGUAAAGGUCUGUUGUAAGGGAAGAAAGAGUGUGAGGGUGGAAAGUACACACUGUGACGGUAUCUGAAGAGAAAGGGACGGCUAACUACGUG